rnacentral:rRNA from 1 species
UACGAAGGGUGCAAACGUUGCUCGGAAUCAUUGGGCGUAAAGCGCACGUAGGCGGUCUGUUGCGUCCGCUGUGAAAACUCGGGGCUUAACCCCGAGCCUGCAGUGGAUACGGGCAGACUAGAGGUAGGUAGGGGAGAAUGGAAUUCCCGGUGUAGCGGUGAAAUGCGCAGAUAUCGGGAGGAACACCGGUGGCGGAGGCGGGUCUCUGGGCCGAUACUGACGCUGAGGAGCGAAAGCGUGGGGAGCGAACAGG